rnacentral:rRNA from 1 species
UAGGGAAUAUUGGACAAUGGGCGCAAGCCUGAUCCAGCCAUGCCGCGUGAGUGAAGAAGGCCUUCGGGUUGUAAAGCUCUUUUACCAGGGACGAUAAUGACGGUACCUGGAGAAUAAGCCCCGGCAAACUUCGUGCCAGCAGCCGCGGUAAUACGAAGGGGGCUAGCGUUGUUCGGAAUUACUGGGCGUAAAGCGCACGUAGGCGGAUUGUUAAGUCAGAGGUGAAAUCCCGGAGCUCAACUUCGGAACUGCCUUUGAUACUGGCAAUCUAGAGUCCGGAAGAGGUUAGUGGAAUUCCCAGUGUAGAGGUGAAAUUCGUAGAUAUUGGGAAGAACACCAGUGGCGAAGGCGGCUAACUGGUCCGGUACUGACGCUGAGGUGCGAAAGCGUGGGGAG